rnacentral:misc_RNA from 1 species
CGCACAUUGCGCCUCCUGGUAUUCCGGGAGGCAUGCCUGUUCGAGCGUCAUUAUAAUCUACUCAAGCAUUUUUUUGUUUGGUUCUGGGAGAUGAGAAUCAUUAUUGAUACUCACUCUUGAAAUGAAAAGGCGUAGCGCCAUAUGUGCCACAGCGUAGUAAGUUUUCUUUCGCUAAUGGUUACUAUGGUUAUAUUGCCAUAAACCCCCAUAUUUCUCAUAGAUUGACCUCGAAUCAGGUAGGGAUACCCGCUGAACUUAA